rnacentral:rRNA from 1 species
UAUGUGAUCGUCUCUCGCAUAUCAAUAAGCGGAGGAAAAGAAACUAACAAGGAUUCCCCUAGUAACGGCGAGUGAAGCGGGAAGAGCUCAAAUUUGAAAUCUUAAAGGGUUUCCCUUUACGAAUUGUAGUUUAGAGAAGUGUUUUCUGUUGAGGUUUUGGUAAAAGUUCUUUGGAAUAGGACAUCAUAGAGGGUGAGAAUCCCGUAUUUGACCUUUACUUUCAACUUUGUGAUACACUUUCAAAGAGUCGGAUUGUUUGGGAAUGCAGUCCAAAAUGGGUGGUAAAUUUCAUCUAAAGCUAAAUAUUGGCGAGAGACCGAUAGCGAACAAGUACCGUGAGGGAAAGAUGAAAAGAACUUUGAAAAGAGAGUUAAACAGUACGUGAAAUUGUCAAAAGGGAAGCGUUUGACACCAGUGUUGUUUUUCUGAAAAUCAAUUAAAGAACUGUUUAUGCUAAGUUGUUUAGACUUUAUCAGCUAACUGUUUAGUUUUGAGCUUUUCUUUAAUGCACUUUUCAGUUAACAAGUCAACAUCAAUUUCUUUUGCUGUAAAAAAGCUUGAGGAAGGUGGCUUGAGAUUCGUCUUAAGUGUUUAUAGCCUCUUGCCUAUGCAGUCGGAGAGAUUGAGGUCUGCAGCGUAGAUCCUUCGGGGCUAAAUGCAUUUGUGCUAAGUUAUAGCAUUUUAUAGACAACUUGUUGACUAUGAUUUGUCUUGUAGCUUACUCGCUUAUGUUAUUUUACCUACGCUUAGGAUGUUGACACACGCGCGUGCUCG